AGAGUUUGAUCCUGGCUCAGGAUGAACGCUGGCGGCGUGCUUAACACAUGCAAGUCGAACGAAGAUAUUUAAAAUGAGAGCUUCGGCAGGAUUUUUAUCUAUCUUAGUGGCGGACGGGUGAGUAACGUGUGGGCAACCUGCCCUGUACUGGGGAAUAAUCAUUGGAAACGAUGACUAAUACCGCAUGUGGUCCUCGGAAGGCAUCUUCUGAGGAAGAAAGGAUUUAUUCGGUACAGGAUGGGCCCGCAUCUGAUUAGCUAGUUGGUGAGAUAACAGCCCACCAAGGCGACGAUCAGUAGCCGACCUGAGAGGGUGAUCGGCCACAUUGGGACUGAGACACGGCCCAAACUCCUACGGGAGGCAGCAGUGGGGAAUAUUGCACAAUGGGCGAAAGCCUGAUGCAGCAACGCCGCGUGAAGGAUGAAGGGUUUCGGCUCGUAAACUUCUAUCAAUAGGGAAGAAAGAAAUGACGGUACCUAAAUAAGAAGCCCCGGCUAACUACGUGCCAGCAGCCGCGGU
rnacentral:rRNA from 1 species